AUUGAACGCUGGCGGCAUGCCUUACACAUGCAGGUCGAACGGCAGCACGGACUUCGGUCUGGUGGCGAGUGGCGAACGGGUGAGUAAUAUAUCGGAACAUACCUUGUAGUAGGGGAUAACUAUCCGAAAGGAUAGCUAAUACCGCAUACGCUCUAAGGAGGAAAGUGGGGGAUCGCAAGACCUCAUGCUAUAAGAGUGGCCGAUAUCUGAUUAGCUAGUUGGUGAGGUAAAGGCUCACCAAGGCAACGAUCAGUAGCUGGUCUGAGAGGACGACCAGCCACACUGGAACUGAGACACGGUCCAGACUCCUACGGGAGGCAGCAGUGGGGAAUUUUGGACAAUGGGGGCAACCCUGAUCCAGCAAUGCCGCGUGAGUGAAGAAGGCCUUCGGGUUGUAAAGCUCUUUUGUCAGGGAAGAAACGGUUGUGGCUAAUAUCCAUGGCUAAUGACGGUACCUGAAGAAUAAGCACCGGCUAACUACGUGCCAGCCGCCGCCGUAACAC
rnacentral:rRNA from 1 species